rnacentral:rRNA from 1 species
ACGCUCGACACCUACGGGAGGCUGCAGUGGGGAAUAUUGCACAAUGGGGGAAACCCUGAUGCAGCGACGCCGCGUGAGCGAAGAAGUAUUUCGGUAUGUAAAGCUCUAUCAGCAGGGAAGAAACUGACGGUACCUGACUAAGAAGCACCGGCUAAAUACGUGGCAGCAGCCGCGGUAAUCUGAGCGGGCUGGCAAGGC